rnacentral:rRNA from 1 species
UACGGGGGGGGUAAGCGUUGUUCGGAAUUACUGGGCGUAAAGGGCUCGUAGGCGGCCAACUAAGUCAUACGUGAAAUCCCUCAGCUUAACUGGGGGAACUGCGUGUGAUACUGGAUGGCUUGGAUUUGGGAGAGGGAUGCGGAAUUCCAGGUGUAGCGGUGAAAUGCGUAGAUAUCUGGAGGAACACCGGUGGCGAAGGCGGCAUCCUGGACCAAUAUUGACGCUGAGAGCGAAAGCCAGGGGAGCAAAGCGGG